GGAUGAACGCUAGCGGGAGGCUUAACACAUGCAAGUCGAGGGGCAUCACGAGGUAGCAAUACUUUGGUGGCGACCGGCGCACGGGUGAGUAAUACGUAUGCAACCUUCCCUGUACAGGGGGAUAACCCGGAGAAAUUCGGACUAAUACCCCAUGAUGAUAUUUAUGGGCAUCCAUUGAUAUUUAAAGCUCUGGCGGUACAGGAUGGGCAUGCGCGACAUUAGCUAGUUGGUAAGGUAACGGCUUACCAAGGCUACGAUGUUUAGGGGACCUGAGAGGGUUGUCCCCCACACUGGUACUGAGACACGGACCAGACUCCUACGGGAGGCAGCAGUGAGGAAUAUUGGUCAAUGGGCGCAAGCCUGAACCAGCCAUCCCGCGUGAAGGAAGAAUGCGCUACGCGUUGUAAACUUCUUUUCCAGGGGGAGAAUAAUCCUGUCGUGACAGGACUUGACGGUACUCUGGGAAUAAGCAUCGGCUAACUCCGUGCCAGCAGCCGCGGUAAUACGGAGGAUGCGAGCGUUAUCCGGAUUUAUUGGGUUUAAAGGGUGCGUAGGCGGAUUGAUAAGUCAGUGGUGAAAUUCUACAGCUUAACUGUAGACUUGCCGUUGAUACUGUUAGUCUUGAGUGUGGUCAAGGCAGGCGGAAUGUGUAAUGUAGCGGUGAAAUGCUUAGAUAUUACACAGAACACCGAUUGCGAAGGCAGCUUGCUGGGUCAUUACUGACGCUGAUGCACGAAAGCGUGGGGAUCAAACAGGAUUAGAUACCCUGGUAGUCCACGCCGUAAACUAUGAUCACUCGCUGUUGGCGAUACACAGUCAGCGGCUAAGCAAAAGCAUUAAGUGAUCCACCUGGGGAGUACGGCCGCAAGGCUG
rnacentral:rRNA from 1 species